rfam:TPA: Bos taurus chromosome 5, whole genome shotgun sequence.
CAUUCUUCUGAUCAUCUGCAGAUCAGCAAUUAGAAAAGAAAGAUCAGCUACCUCCUUGGGACCUGAUCAUAACACAGGAGCUACCGAUUUCAACUACUCCGGCCUAACUCUCUCCUAAACAAUGAAAUAUACAAGCUAUUUCUUAGCUUUACUGCUCUGUGGGCUU